GACGAACGCUGGCGGCGUGCUUAACACAUGCAAGUCGAACGGAAAGGCCCUGCUCUUGUGGGAUGCUCGAGGGGCGAACGGGUGUGUCACACGUGAGUAACCUGCCCUUGACUUUGGUAACACCUCAGGAAACUGGGGCUAACACCGGAGAGGAGCUCCCGGCGCAUGGUGGGGGGUGGAGAUUUUCGGGGGUUGGGGAUGGUCUCGCGGCUUCUCAGCUUGUUGGUGGGGGAGUGGCUUACCAAGGCUUGGACGGGUCGCCGGCCUGAGGGGGUGACCGGCCACAUUGGGACUGAGAUACGGCCAAGACUCCUACGGGAGGCAGCGGUGGGGAUUAUUGAACAAUGGGCGGAAGCCUGAUGCAGCACCGCCGCGUGCGGGAUGACGGCCUUCGGGUUGUAAACCGCUUUCGCCUGUGACGAAGCGUGAGUGACGGUAGUGGGUAAAGAAGCACCGGCUAACUACGUG
rnacentral:rRNA from 1 species